rnacentral:rRNA from 1 species
AUACCCGCUGAACUUAAGCAUAUCAAUAAGCGGAGGAAAAGAAACCAACAGGGAUUGCCUUAGUAACGGCGAGUGAAGCGGCAACAGCUCAAAUUUGAAAUCUGGCUUCGGUCCGAGUUGUAAUUUGUAGAGGAUGCUUCGGCUUUCGCACCGGUCUAAGUUCCUUGGAACAGGACGUCACAGAGGGUGAGAAUCCCGUUUGUGGCCGGUGCUUCCGCCAUGUGAAGCUCCUUCGACGAGUCGAGUUGUUUGGGAAUGCAGCUCUAAAUGGGAGGUAAAUUUCUUCUAAAGCUAAAUACCGGCCAGAGACCGAUAGCGCACAAGUAGAGUGAUCGAAAGAUGAAAAGCACUUUGGAAAGAGAGUUAAAAAGUACGUGAAAUUGUUGAAAGGGAAGCGCUUGCGACCAGACUUGCCCGCGGAUGCUCAACCGGUCCUUCGGCCGGUGCACUCUUCCGCGGUCAGGCCAGCAUCAGUUUGGGCGGUCGGAUAAAGGCCUCGGGAAUGUGGCUCUCUUCGGGGAGUGUUAUAGCCCUUGGUGCAAUACGGCCCGCCUGGACUGAGGCCCGCGCUUCGGCUAGGAUGCUGGCGUAAUGGUCGUAAGCGGCCCGUCUUG